AGGUCAAGCGAAAAAGGGCGCACGGUGGAUGCCUUGGCGCCGGGUGGCGACGAAGGGCGCAGCGAGCUGCGAAAAGCCUCGGGUAGCCGCAAGCAGGCGUAGAUCCGGGGAUACCCGAAUGGGGGAACCCAUCACAGGUAAUACUGUGAUAUCCUGUACCGAACACAUAGGUAUAGGAGGCGAUACCGGGGGAACUGAAACAUCUAAGUACCCCGAGGAGAAGAAAGAAACCUCGAUUCCCUAAGUAGCGGCGAGCGAACGGGGAAGAGCCCAAACCCUGCAUGAGUAAUAGGCUGCAUCCGUUUCAUGCAGGGGGUUGUGGGGUUAUCAGCGGAUAGGAUGCAGACUAUCCGCCGCGGAAGCCGACAGUUAGUAGAAGGUGUCUGGAACGGCCCACCAUAGAGGGUAACAGUCCCGUAUACGAAAACUAGAGGCAGCGGUAAGAUAGCCCCGAGUACCACGGAGCACGAGAAACCCUGUGGGAAUCCGGGAGGCCCACCUCCCAAGGCUAAAUACAACCCGGCGACCGAUAGAGAACAAGUACCGUGAGGGAAAGGUGAAAAGCACCCCGGUGAGGGGAGUGAAACAGAACCUGAAACCGUGUGUCUACAAGCAGUGGGAGCCCUGACUAGAAGCUAGAAGCUAGAAGCUAGAGGAGCGAAUCUAGAUUCUAGUUUCCAGCAUCUAGCUUCUAAGGGGCGACCGCGUACUUUUUGUAGAACGGACCGGCGAGUUGCGGUAUCUAGCGAGGUUAAGGUGCAGAGCACCGGAGCCGAAGCGAAAGCGAGUCCUAACAGGGCGUAUAGUUAGGUAUCGCAGACCCGAAACCGGGUGAUCUACCCAUGGCCAGGGUGAAGCGGAAGUAAAGUUUCGUGGAGGCCCGAACCGUGUUGACGUUGAAAAGUCAUGGGAUGAGCUGUGGGUAGGGGUGAAAUGCCAAUCGAACCCGGAGAUAGCUGGUUCUCCCCGAAAUAGCUUUAGGGCUAGCCUCAACAGAGAGAGUGAUGGAGGUAGAGCACUGAAUGGGCUAGGGGCCCGACAAGGUUACCGAACCCUAUCAAACUCCGAAUGCCAUCACUUGUUAGUUGGGAGUCAGACUAUGGGAGAUAAGUUUCAUAGUCGAGAGGGAAACAGCCCAGACCGUCAGCUAAGGUCCCCAAGUAUAGGCUAAGUGGCAAAGGAUGUGGGAUUGCCCAGACAACCAGGAUGUUGGCUUAGAAGCAGCCAUUCAUUUAAAGAGUGCGUAAUAGCUCACUGGUCAAGUGAUCCUGCGCCGAAAAUGUAGCGGGGCUCAAGCCUAUCACCGAAGCUGCGGGUACUAGAAGCUAGAUGCUAGAGGCUAGAAACUAGAACAAAAAGGAGAGGCAAGGUUUGAUACGAUCAUACAAAGAUUUAAGUGUAUAUCAAAUAUCGUAUGAAUUAGCCUUACAACUCCACCGGAAGACGUUGACACUUCCUGAAUUUGAGAAAUACGAAUUAGGUCAGCAGAUAAGAAGAGCUACCAAAUCCAUUCCAUUAAACAUAGGAGAAGGAUACGGCAGGAGAACAGCCAAAGAAUUCAAGCAUUUUCUAAGAAAUGCAUUAGGGUCCUGUGAUGAGGUAGCCAUAUUACUGAGAUUUAUUAAAGACUUAGGAUAUAUAACAGACGCUGAAUAUAACCAUUAUGCUGACCAGUAUGACCAAUUAGGGAAGCAGCUAACAAAUCUAAUUCAGAGAUGGAAGGAGUUCUAGCACUCUAGUUUCCAGCAUCUAGCUUCCAGUACGGUAGGGGAGCGUUGUAUAGCCGUCGAAGUCAGACCGAAAGGGCUGGUGGAGGGUAUACAAGAGCGAAUGCCGGUAUAAGUAGCGAGAGGCAGGUGAGAAACCUGCCCGCCGGAAGCCUAAGGUUUCCUGAGGAAGGUUUGUCCUCUCAGGGUAAGCCGGGGCCUAAGCCGAGGCGUAGAGCGUAGGCGAUGGACAAUCGGUUGAGAAUCCGAUGCCACCUACUAACCGCAACGAGCGAAGGGGUGACACAGGAGGGUAGGUCAAGCGUGUGAUUGGUGGUACACGUCCAAGCCAUUAGGGAGCGGGGGCAGGCAAAUCCGUCUCCGUGCAAAUCCUGAGUGGUGAUGGGGAGUGAAAAUUAAAGUAGCGAAGUGACCGAUCCCAUACUGUUUAAAAAAGCCUCUAGCCAGGUUAGGGGUGCCCGUACCGCAAACCGACACAGGUAGGCAGGGAGAGAAUCCCGAGGCGACCGGGAGAACCCUCGUUAAGGAACUCGGCAAACUGACCCCGUAACUUCGGGAGAAGGGGUGCCCGAGUAGCGUAUGGUAUAACUAUAUGCGAAAGGGCCGCAGAGAAUAGGCCCAAGCGACUGUUUAGCAAAAACACAGGUCUCUGCCAAGGAGAAAUCCGACGUAUAGGGGCUGACGCCUGCCCGGUGCUGGAAGGUUAAGGGGAAGGCUCAUUCUUGGAAGUUGGAGGUUAGAGGUUAGAAGUUAGCCUAGAAGGAAAUCGCGAAGCGAUUUCCAACAAGGAUCUAAUUUCUAAUUUCCAACUUCCAACUUCCAGGGAGAAGGUCUGAACCGAAGCCCCAGUGAACGGCGGCCGUAACUAUAACGGUCCUAAGGUAGCGAAAUUCCUUGUCGGGUAAGUUCCGACCCGCACGAAAGGCGUAACGACUUGGGCGCUGUCUCGACGAGGGGCCCGGCGAAAUUGUAGUACUCGUGAAGAUGCGAGUUACCCGCGACAAGACGGAAAGACCCCGUGGAGCUUUACUGCAGCCUGACAUUGGAUCUUGGCAUUACAUGUACAGGAUAGGUGGGAGACAGAGAGCCUGGGCCGCCAGGUUCAGGGGAGUCGCCCUUGGGAUACCACUCUUGUAGUGCUGGGGUUCUAACCAUAUACCGUAAUCCGGUAUUGGGACAUUGUCAGGUGGGCAGUUUGACUGGGGCGGUCGCCUCCCAAAGAGUAACGGAGGCGCCCAAAGGUUACCUCAGUGCGGUCGGGAAUCGCGCGUAGAGUGUAAAGGCAGAAGGUAGCCUAACUGUGAGAGAGACAUCUCGAGCAGGGUCGAAAGACGGGCUUAGUGAUCCGGCGGUAUCGAGUGGAAGAGCCGUCGCUCAACGGAUAAAAGCUACCCCGGGGAUAACAGGCUUAUCUCCCCCAAGAGUCCACAUCGACGGGGAGGUUUGGCACCUCGAUGUCGGCUCGUCGCAUCCUGGGGCUGGAGUAGGUCCCAAGGGUUGGGCUGUUCGCCCAUUAAAGCGGUACGCGAGCUGGGUUCAGAACGUCGUGAGACAGUUCGGUCCCUAUCUGUCGCGGGCGUAGGAAACUUGAGGGGAGCUGCCCUUAGUACGAGAGGACCGGGGUGGACGGACCGCUGGUGUACCAGUUGUCCCGCCAGGGGCACAGCUGGGUAGCCAUGUCCGGCAGGGAUAAGCGCUGAAGGCAUCUAAGCGCGAAGCCCCCCCCAAGAUUAGGUUUCCCACUCCUUAGGAGGUAAGACCCCAGGUAGAUUACCUGGUCGAUAGGUCGGAGGUGUAAGUGCAGCAAUGCAUUCAGCUGACCGAUACUAAUAGGUCGAGGGCUUGACCUCC
rnacentral:rRNA from 1 species